rnacentral:rRNA from 1 species
GAACGCUGGCGGCGUGCCUAAUACAUGCAAGUCGAGCGAACAGAUAAGGAGCUUGCUCCUUUGACGUUAGCGGCGGACGGGUGAGUAACACGUGGGUAACCUACCUAUAAGACUGGAAUAACUCCGGGAAACCGGGGCUAAUGCCGGAUAACAUAUAGAACCGCAUGGUUCUAUAGUGAAAGAUGGUUUUGCUAUCACUUAUAGAUGGACCCGCGCCGUAUUAGCUAGUUGGUAAGGUAACGGCUUACCAAGGCGACGAUACGUAGCCGACCUGAGAGGGUGAUCGGCCACACUGGAACUGAGACACGGUCCAGACUCCUACGGGAGGCAGCAGUAGGGAAUCUUCCGCAAUGGGCGAAAGCCUGACGGAGCAACGCCGCGUGAGUGAUGAAGGGUUUCGGCUCGUAAAACUCUGUUAUUAGGGAAGAACAUAUGUGUAAGUAACUGUGCACAUCUUGACGGUACCUAAUCAGAAAGCCACGGCUAACUACGUGCCAGCAGCCGCGGUAAUACGUAGGUGGCAAGCGUUAUCCGGAAUUAUUGGGCGUAAAGCGCGCGUAGGCGGUUUCUUAAGUCUGAUGUGAAAGCCCACGGCUCAACCGUGGAGGGUCAUUGGAAACUGGGAAACUUGAGUGCAGAAGAGGAAAGUGGAAUUCCAUGUGUAGCGGUGAAAUGCGCAGAGAUAUGGAGGAACACCAGUGGCGAAGGCGACUUUCUGGUCUGUAACUGACGCUGAUGUGCGAAAGCGUGGGGAUCAAACAGGAUUAGAUACCCUGGUAGUCCACGCCGUAAACGAUGAGUGCUAAGUGUUAGGGGGUUUCCGCCCCUUAGUGCUGCAGCUAACGCAUUAAGCACUCCGCCUGGGGAGUACGACCGCAAGGUUGAAACUCAAAGGAAUUGACGG